UCGGAAAUCGUAAGCGUACUGGAACGCCAUGGUCCGGCGAACCGAGUUGCUUCGGUACGGUGUUCCUGAUUGCGAAGGUACGACGAUCCAAACUGAUCCGGUUCAGCGAACCAAAUAGACAAGGUGGACGUUCCAAAUCGUUUGGGUACAACGAUCCUUAGCUGAAUUCAAACGUCAAUCUUGUUUUCAGCCAUAAACCAGUAAGAAGGGGAAGAAGAAGAAACAGCGGCUGUGUAUGUUUUAGGUUUUUAGGGUUUAAACAAGUUUAGUUAUUACAACAUUUAACCCCUCUAUUUUUACCGGUUUACAUUUAAACCCUAAAACUUAUAGUUUUUUUACAUAAAAAGUGUGAAAGUAGUUUGUGUAUUUAAACAUUUAACCUUCUCUAUCCUUACUAGUUUACAUUUGGCCCUUGAACUAAUAAAUUUAUACAUAAAAAGUAUAAAUUAAGAUUAUAAAUAUAUAACAUUUAACCAAAUUACAUCAGUUUCUACUCCUAUUCAAUAUCAAUUUUUAUCUUCAACCUUCAAUGUUUAUGUUUGGUAAUUUGAAUUUUGGAAUUUGAUAAUUUAUGUUUUAAUUUGGGACUCCAUGGUACACCGUACCGGUUCGUAUCGAAAUGAACCUACCCCCUCCGUACUGUAAACGUCACCUCUAGCGAACCGCGUACCCGUACCGGAGCGAACCGCGAAUUAGGUAACUGUGGUCUAGCCCUCGGUCUCAUGUUUGACUGGAUAGUGACAUGAUGUAUGUACUAUCAGUAAAUUUCCUCAAAUGAUUUGGUAGUUGUGUCACCUGAUGCACCUUUGGCAAUUGUUGACAGAAAGGCGACAUGGACGUAAUGUAGCUGAGUUAGUUAUGGAAUCUGUUGAGCGAAUAAAGAAUUGAAAGAACAAGAUUUGAGAAACUAUGAUUAUGAUUACUGGUUCUUGUUCGACACAUACAGACUCAAUAUAUACAUGUUGACACGGCGCCUUCUAAGGGAUACACCGCUUCUUCACAAUACGACACAAAUAACAUUAUAUACAUAACUGCAUUAGUUCAUGACGAUAACUCUGUAAGUAGCAUCUUUGCAUUAGUUCUGAGAAAAUGUAGACCGAACUGCUGUUGGGAUUCAUUUUCUUAUUUAAAAUAAGGCGGUUUCCAUGUUAAGCACAUUGUCUGUAACAUUGAUGCUUGCUUAUUCUUAUUGUUUCAAUGUUACAAAAGUAAACCAGCCAGAUCGAGUAGUGUAACAUAAUAUGUUAAGCGGAUUUUCUGUAAAAGAAAAUUUUACGAAAUUAAGAAAAAUGUUACAGAAAUUAAUCAGCCAGAUCGAGCUGUGUUACAACUACCAUAAACUGGAUAAAAUUAAGGGCUAAUCAGUUAGGAUAGUUAUGCUGAAUUGUUGAUUAUACAUCUAGAAAGUACAAGAUUUGACUUUAUUAAGUCAAUGUGUCAAACUGAGAUUAUUUUUCUAUGUUAAUGUCAAAAUGCAUCUAGGAUAGUCAUGUUGAUUAUACAUCCAUAAAAAGUACCGGAACUGAGUUCACCAGAUCAGUAAG
rnacentral:lncRNA from 1 species